rnacentral:rRNA from 1 species
CAUGCAGUCGAACGAAGUAGCAAUACUUAGUGGCAGACGGGUGAGUAACAUGUAGGUAUCUGCCCUUUGGCCUGGAAUAACACGAGGAAACUUGUGCUAAUACCGGAUAAGUCUUUACGGAGAAAGCUUUAUGCACCAUUGGAUGAGCCUGCACUUGAUUAGUUUGUUGGUGGGGUAAUGGCCUACCAAGACUGUGAUCAAUAGCUGAUUUGAGAGGAUGAUCAGCCACAUUGGGACUGAGACACGGCCCAAACUCCUACGGGAGGCAGCAGUGGGGAAUCUUGCACAAUGGAGGAAACUCUGAUGCAGCGAUGCCGCGUGAGUGAAGAAGGCCCUUGGGUUGUAAAGCUCUUUCGUCGGGGAAGAAAAUGACUGUACCCGAAUAAGAAGGUCCGGCUAACUUCGUGCCAGCAGCCGCGGUAAUACGAAGGGACCUAGCGUAGUUCGGAAUUACUGGGCUUAAAGAGUUCGUAGGUGGUUGAAAAAGUUAGUGGUGAAAUCCCAGAGCUUAACUCUGGAACUGCCAUUAAAACUUUUCAGCUAGAGUAUGAUAGAGGAAAGCAGAAUUUCUAGUGUAGAGGUGAAAUUCGUAGAUAUUAGAAAGAAUACCAAUUGCGAAGGCAGCUUUCUGGAUCAUUACUGACACUGAGGAACGAAAGCAUGGGUAGCGAAGAGGAUUAGAUACCCUCGUAGUCCAUGCCGUAAACGAUGUGUGUUAGACGUUGGAAAUUUAUUUUCAGUGUCGCAGGGAAACCGAUAAACACACCGCCUGGGGAGUACGACCGCAAGGUUAAAACUCAAAUGAAUUGACGGGGACCCGCACAAGUAGUGGAGCAUGUGGUUUAAUUCGAAGAUACGCGCAGAACCUUACCAACACUUGACAUGUUCGUCGCGACUCUAGAGAUUAGAGUUUUCGGUUCGGCCGGACGAAACACAGUGCUGCAUGGCUGUCGUCAGCUCGUGUCGUGAGAUGUUGGGUUAAGUC